AUUGAACGCUGGCGGCAGGCUUAACACGUGCAAGUCGAGCGGAGAUGAGGUGCUUGCACCCUAUCUUAGCGGCGGACGGGUGAGUAAUGCUUAGGAAUCUGCCUAUUAGUGGGGGACAACAUUCCGAAAGGAAUGCUAAUACCGCAUACGUCCUACGGGAGAAAGCAGGGGAUCUUCGGACCUUGCGCUAAUAGAUGAGCCUAAGUCGGAUUAGCUAGUUGGUGGGGUAAAGGCCUACCAAGGCGACGAUCUGUAGCGGGUCUGAGAGGAUGAUCCGCCACACUGGGACUGAGACACGGCCCAGACUCCUACGGGAGGCAGCAGUGGGGAAUAUUGGACAAUGGGGGGAACCCUGAUCCAGCCAUGCCGCGUGUGUGAAGAAGGCCUUAUGGUUGUAAAGCACUUUAAGCGAGGAGGAGGCUACUGAGACUAAUACUCUUGGAUAGUGGACGUUACUCGCAGAAUAAGCACCGGCUAACUCUGUGCCAGCCGCCGCCGUAACAC
rnacentral:rRNA from 1 species